GCGUAUUGGCGGCAGGCCUAACACAUGCAAGUCGAGCGGCAGCACGGGUACUUGUACCUGGUGGCGAGCGGCGGACGGGUGAGUAAUGCCUAGGAAUCUGCCUGGUAGUGGGGGAUAACGCUCGGAAACGGACGCUAAUACCGCAUACGUCCUACGGGAGAAAGCAGGGGACCUUCGGGCCUUGCGCUAUCAGAUGAGCCUAGGUCGGAUUAGCUAGUUGGUGAGGUAAUGGCUCACCAAGGCGACGAUCCGUAACUGGUCUGAGAGGAUGAUCAGUCACACUGGAACUGAGACACGGUCCAGACUCCUACGGGAGGCAGCAGUGGGGAAUAUUGGACAAUGGGCGAAAGCCUGAUCCAGCCAUGCCGCGUGUGUGAAGAAGGUCUUCGGAUUGUAAAGCACUUUAAGUUGGGAGGAAGGGCAUUUACCUAAUACGUAAGUGUUUUGACGUUACCGACAGAAUAAGCACCGGCUAACUCUGUGCCAGCAGCCGCGGUAAUACAGAGGGUGCAAGCGUUAAUCGGAAUUACUGGGCGUAAAGCGCGCGUAGGUGGUUUGUUAAGUUGGAUGUGAAAUCCCCGGGCUCAACCUGGGAACUGCAUCCAAAACUGGCAAGCUAGAGUAUGGUAGAGGGUGGUGGAAUUUUCC
rnacentral:rRNA from 1 species